UAACCUGGAAAAAUAUAACUAAAAAUGGUACAAUGGUAGAUGGUAGUCGGUAAUAAAAAUAAGUGAGUUAGUCGUGAAAUUGAUUUGAUUGUUCGAUAAAUCACUGUUCAGAUGUCAAAAACUAUAAAAGUGAGUGAUAGCUGUCUAGUGAAAUGAAGAAGUCAUCAGUAAUGCAAUCGAAACGAAGAAUCAGAGACAUUGUUGCAUCGCUGAACUCAAAACAGAAGAUCAUGGUGCUGCUCGAUUUCGCUGAACUUGUGCAGAUUUAGCAGUCAAGGUAAAGUGGAAGCCAUCACGUAGAAUACUGUUGUUCCCAAUGAAUGGCCGAU